AAAACGGUAAUGUGCGCAUAUGCAAUGUUGGGUACUAUUCUCCAACUUAACGUUGAGUAGUUUGUACCUAACGUUGGAUGAAAAUAAUUGAACCCUAUAGCGAGCUUUGUUGAUGGUGGUUUUGCUCGUUUUAUUUACUUCGUGAUUAGUUUUUUCCGCGGUGGCAUUUCGUUCGCGGUUUCGUUUAUGAACCAUUGACUGUUCGAUGUCGAAUGUUCGAAAUUGGACUGCAGUGUUACGUAUAAACAGCAGAAAAUGGAAGAACAGCAUCAAUCUUCUUAUGACUUAGAUGGAUCAUCGAGACUUUUCAUACCGACCCGUGAUAGCUAAUCAGGAAGCUCAAUAGUAUGCCAAACUGUGGGACUACUGCGGAUCGAAUCCCGAGAAGUCCGAUGCCUUCCAGCAUCACUUGCUUGUGUACAACGCUUCCGAUCGUCACUAGGUCACUCCCUGUUUGCUAGAUCAGCUGGACGAUCGAUAACAUGAUAGAUACCCAACAAACAUUUUUGUUUAAGAAUAGCUUAUACAUUUAUUUUACAGCUAAUACACAUGGAACAAGUGCUUGAUAGGCUAUUAUACAACAGAAAUAUUCCUUGGGUAUUCAGAACAGAACUAUUCCGAUGCAAUCAAGCUUGUCACAGCCGGUUGCAUCUGUUUCGGGUUUACAAACACUCCAAU